GCACCCGUAGCUCAACUGGAUAGAGUGUCGGAUUUCGAAUCCGAAGGUUGUAGGUUCGACCCCUUCCGGGUGUGC
rnacentral:tRNA from 1 species